UACUUGCAAAAAAUAAACAAGACAAUUGAUUUCGAUAGUUUGGUCAAAAUGGAGUUCAAGUUUUCUGUGAGAAGUGUUCAUCUGAAAAAUUUUGAUCUUGGAAGAAAUGAAGCAGAGUGCUUUGAUUUCAACAUAACUAUUUUGCUAGACAACAGUGCCUACAGUGGACAGAUGCCUGUCACUCUGGAUGCUGAUGCAAAUCCAUUUAUAUGUUAUGAAGAAGAUGAAAUAGAUG